UACAGAGGUCUCAAGCGUUGUUCGGAUUCAUUGGGCGUAAAGGGUGCGUAGGCGGCGCGGUAAGUCGGGUGUGAAAUCUCGGAGCUUAACUCCGAAACUGCAUUCGAUACUGCCGUGCUUGAGGACUGGAGGGGAGACUGGAAUUUACGGUGUAGCGGUGAAAUGCGUAGAUAUCGUAAGGAAGACCAGUGGCGAAGGCGGGUCUCUGGACAGUUCCUGACGCUGAAGCACGAAGGCCAGGGGAGCAAACGGG
rnacentral:rRNA from 1 species